rnacentral:rRNA from 1 species
GGGAGCCCCGAGAUGGGUACUGAGACAGCGACCCAGGCCUUACGAGGCGCAGCAGGCGCGGAACCUCCACAAUACACGAAAGUGUGAUGGGGUUACCCAAAGUGUUCAAUCUUGAACUGUGGUAGGUGAAUAAUGUUCCCUACUAGAAAGGAGAGGGCAAGGCUGGUGCCAGCCGCCGCGGUAAAACCAGCUCUUCAAGUGGUCGGGAUAUUUAUUGGGCUUAAAGUGUCCGUAGCCGGUUUAGUAAGUUCCUGGUAAAAUCGGGUAGCUUAACUAUCUGUAUGCUAGGAAUACUGCUAUACUAGAGGGCGGGAGAGGUCUGAGGUACUACGGGGGUAGGGGUGAAAUCUUAUAAUCCUUGUAGGACCACCAGUGGCGAAGGCGUCAGACUGGAACGCGCCUGACGGUGAGGGACGAAAGCCAGGGGAGCGAACCGGAUUAGAUACCCGGGUAGUCCUGGCUGUAAACGAUGCAUACUAGGUGAUGGUAUGGCCAUGAGCCAUAUCAGUGCCGUAGGGAAACCGUUAAGUGUGCCGCCUGGG